UCUGGAAGUUUGAAAUGACUGCCAAAAAACAAAGGCUGAGUGUGUGACUGUACAACCUUCUGUUAAAAACCUCAGGAAGACUUAACGGCAAGUGCCGCAUUCAGCUCACCUAAGUCCUACGUUGUUCUUGAUGGCUCAUGGUAUUAUUAUUAUCCCUGUUUUAUAACUAAGGAAACUCCAGCACAGACGGGUUUCUCCCCUGCAAUCAAGACACAGGACUGCCAGGAGCACCAGCAUGACAGUGUCCCAGAUAAGCAACUAAGCCAUCAAAAAUCCUGUGUUUGAGUCUCUUUAACCUAGCUUGGUCUCAUACCUACACUGAGGUCAGGAGCAAGAUGGAUUCAAACCCACCAAAAACACAUGGAUGAAGAGCUGAGAAUGAAGUAGUU